UGGGGGAUAUUGCACAAUGGGCGAAAGCCUGAUGCAGCGACGCCGCGUGGGGGAUGAAGGCCUUCGGGUUGUAAACUUCUUUUGCUCUGAACAAGGCAUGCCUUUGGGGUGUGUUGAGUGUAGGGGUUGAUUAGCGCCGGCUAACUACGUGCCAGCAGCCGCGGUAAUACGUAGGGUGCAAGCGUUAAUCGGAAUUACUGGGCGUAAAGCGCACGUAGGCUGCUUUGUAAGUCAGGGGUGAAAUCCCACGGCUCAACCGUGGAACUGCCUUUGAUACUGCUUAGCUUGAAUCCGGGAGAGGGUGGCGGAAUUCCAGGUGUAGGAGUGAAAUCCGUAGAUAUCUGGAGGAACAUCAGUGGCGAAGGCGGCCACCUGGACCGGUAUUGACGCUGAGGUGCGAAAGCGUGGGGAGCAAACAGG
rnacentral:rRNA from 1 species